rnacentral:rRNA from 1 species
AUUGAACGCUGGCGGCAUGCCUUACACAUGCCAGUCGAACGGCAGCAUGAUCUAGCUUGCUAGAUUGAUGGCGAGUGGCGAACGGGUGAGUAAUACAUCGGAACGUGCCCUGUAGUGGGGGAUAACUAGUCGAAAGAUUAGCUAAUACCGCAUACGACCUGAGGGUGAAAGUGGGGGACCGCAAGGCCUCAUGCUAUAGGAGCGGCCGAUGUCUGAUUAGCUAGUUGGUGAGGUAAAGGCUCACCAAGGCGACGAUCAGUAGCUGGUCUGAGAGGACGAUCAGCCACACUGGGACUGAGACACGGCCCAGACUCCUACGGGAGGCAGCAGUGGGGAAUUUUAGACAAUGGGCGAAAGCCUGAUCCAGCAAUGCCGCGUGUGUGAAGAAGGCCUUCGGGUUGUAAAGCACUUUUGUCCGGAAAGAAAUGGCUCUGGUUAAUACCUGGGGUCGAUGACGGUACCGGAAGAAUAAGGACCGGCUAACUACGUG